ACAGACAGACAGCCCUGAGAAUGAUAUCGUCAGGUGGAACCCAUCCUCAAUAAAGUACAGAAGUAAAAUAGAGGAGCUCCGGACAGAUUCCUCCAGAAAGAAAGUCGGGAACCUCUACUUUUCUAGAAGGAAUAAAUACAUUAUUGGCUCUGGAGGAAGUGGCACGGUUUAUCUUGGCCUGAAGGAAGAUGGCACUGAGGUGGCCAUUAAACGAAUAAUCAAGGACCAACAGGAAAGCAGUUACUUUGAAAAUGAACUAAAGCAUCUACGAGAUUUAAAUCUUGAAAGCAAGAACAUUGUCAGGAAGAACAACAAGACAAAGACACCGCUUUGAGGAAAAUAGUGAAGGAGAUUCUUCACCGUGCUGGAGUGAUACAUCGCGAUAUAAAGCCUGCAAAUGUUUUGAUGGAUUCAGGAAAAAAUGCAAGGCUGGCUGACUUUGGCAUAAGUCGUAAACUGGAGGAGGGCAGAAGCACAGUGCAUACUGCUAGAGCUGGUACACAAGGCUGGGAAGCUACGGAGAUCCUGAAUCAAGAAACAGGUUACAAGAAGAGUUCAGAC